rnacentral:rRNA from 1 species
GGGUUGUGAGGUUAAGCGACUAAGCGUACACGGUGGAUGCCCUGGCAGUCAGAGGCGAUGAAGGACGUGCUAAUCUGCGAUAAGCGUCGGUAAGGUGAUAUGAACCGUUAUAACCGGCGAUUUCCGAAUGGGGAAACCCAGUGUGAUUCGUCACACUAUCAUUAACUGAAUCCAUAGGUUAAUGAGGCGAACCGGGGGAACUGAAACAUCUAAGUACCCCGAGGAAAAGAAAUCAACCGAGAUUCCCCCAGUAGCGGCGAGCGAACGGGGAGCAGCCCAGAGCCUGAAUCAGUGUGUGUGUUAGUGGAAGCGUCUGGAAAGGCGCGCGAUACAGGGUGACAGCCCCGUACACAAAAAUGCACAUGCUGUGAGCUCGAUGAGUAGGGCGGGACACGUGGUAUCCUGUCUGAAUAUGGGGGGACCAUCCUCCAAGGCUAAAUACUCCUGACUGACCGAUAGUGAACCAGUACCGUGAGGGAAAGGCGAAAAGAACCCCGGCGAGGGGAGUGAAAAAGAACCUGAAACCGUGUACGUACAAGCAGUGGGAGCACGCUUAGGCGUGUGACUGCGUACCUUUUGUAUAAUGGGUCAGCGACUUAUAUUCUGUAGCAAGGUUAACCGAAUAGGGGAGCCGAAGGGAAACCGAGUCUUAACUGGGCGUUAAGUUGCAGGGUAUAGACCCGAAACCCGGUGAUCUAGCCAUGGGCAGGUUGAAGGUUGGGUAACACUAACUGGAGGACCGAACCGACUAAUGUUGAAAAAUUAGCGGAUGACUUGUGGCUGGGGGUGAAAGGCCAAUCAAACCGGGAGAUAGCUGGUUCUCCCCGAAAGCUAUUUAGGUAGCGCCUCGUGAAUUCAUCUCCGGGGGUAGAGCACUGUUUCGGCAAGGGGGUCAUCCCGACUUACCAACCCGAUGCAAACUGCGAAUACCGGAGAAUGUUAUCACGGGAGACACACGGCGGGUGCUAACGUCCGUCGUGAAGAGGGAAACAACCCAGACCGCCAGCUAAGGUCCCAAAGUCAUGGUUAAGUGGGAAACGAUGUGGGAAGGCCCAGACAGCCAGGAUGUUGGCUUAGAAGCAGCCAUCAUUUAAAGAAAGCGUAAUAGCUCACUGGUCGAGUCGGCCUGCGCGGAAGAUGUAACGGGGCUAAACCAUGCACCGAAGCUGCGGCAGCGACGCUGAUGCGUUGUUGGGUA